rnacentral:rRNA from 1 species
GAGUUUGAUUAUGGCUCAGGAUGAACGCUAGCGGGAGGCCUAACACAUGCAAGCCGAGCGGGAUUUGUUGGUUAGCUUGCUAACUAAUAAUGAGAGCGGCGUACGGGUGCGUAACACGUGUGCAACCUGCCUUUAUCUGGGGGAUAGCCUUUCGAAAGGAAGAUUAAUACCCCAUAAUAUAUUAAUUGGCAUCAAUUGAUAUUGAAAGCUCCGGCGGAUAGAGAUGGGCACGCGUAAGAUUAGCUAGUUGGUGAGGUAACGGCUCACCAAGGCUGCGAUCUUUAGGGGGCCUGAGAGGGUGAUCCCCCACACUGGUACUGAGACACGGACCAGACUCCUACGGGAGGCAGCAGUGAGGAAUAUUGGACAAUGGGUGAGAGCCUGAUCCAGCCAUCCCGCGUGAAGGACUAAGGACCUAUGGUUUGUAAACUUCUUUUAUACAGGGAUAAACCUACUCUCGUGAGGGUAGNUGAAGGUACUGUAUGAAUAAGCACCGCA